CGGGACACGUGGUAUCCUGUCUGAAUAUGGGGGGACCAUCCUCCAAGGCUAAAUACUCCUGACUGACCGAUAGUGAACCAGUACCGUGAGGGAAAGGCGAAAAGAACCCCGGCGAGGGGAGUGAAAAAGAACCUGAAACCGUGUACGUACAAGCAGUGGGAGCACGCUUAGGCGUGUGACUGCGUACCUUUUGUAUAAUGGGUCAGCGACUUAUAUUCUGUAGCAAGGUUAACCGAAUAGGGGAGCCGAAGGGAAACCGAGUCUUAACUGGGCGUUAAGUUGCAGGGUAUAGACCCGAAACCCGGUGAUCUAGCCAUGGGCAGGUUGAAGGUUGGGUAACACUAACUGGAGGACCGAACCGACUAAUGUUGAAAAAUUAGCGGAUGACUUGUGGCUGGGGGUGAAAGGCCAAUCAAACCGGGAGAUAGCUGGUUCUCCCCGAAAGCUAUUUAGGUAGCGCCUCGUGAAUUCAUCUCCGGGGGUAGAGCACUGUUUCGGCAAGGGGGUCAUCCCGACUUACCAACCCGAUGCAAACUGCGAAUACCGGAGAAUGUUAUCACGGGAGACACACGGCGGGUGCUAACGUCCGUCGUGAAGAGGGAAACAACCCAGACCGCCAGCUAAGGUCCCAAAGUCAUGGUUAAGUGGGAAACGAUGUGGGAAGGCCCAGACAGCCAGGAUGUUGGCUUAGAAGCAGCCAUCAUUUAAAGAAAGCGUAAUAGCUCACUGGUCGAGUCGGCCUGCGCGGAAGAUGUAAC
rnacentral:rRNA from 1 species